rnacentral:lncRNA from 1 species
GCUGGAAAGAUGGAUAUGGCACUAAGUGUUAAGGCAUAUGAACAAGACGUAGACAUCAAAUGGAAUCAGGCGAGGGUAGUAAAACCACUCUGGGAUCCUAAUGGCAUAAAUGUGUUCGAAGCCAUACAAAUAGAAAAAAGAAGGCCACUAUUUAAUAUUAUUAAUGAUAAUGAUCCGACCAUGCUACCUAUGUCAUGGAAGUGGUGUGCUCGUUAUGCCGUCUAGACUAUAGUAGAGGAUUUACAGCACUUAACAUAUACGGAACUUUAUACCUGGCAUAUCACGCAUAUUAUAAUUUAAUAGGAACGGUAUAGACAGAUCUUAUGUAAACUUAUAAAGGGACCUAUAGAUUUGUGUACGAUGGUUACUGCUUGACGGGUCAACGUUGUUUUACUUGGGCAUUCUCUAUGCAUGUUAUGUAUGAAUGUAGAUUAUUAUUUGUAUU